GGCGGUGUAGCUCAGUAGGCUAGAGCAUACGGUUCAUACCCGUAGUGUCGUCAGUUCGAUUCUGACCGCCGCCACCA
rnacentral:tRNA from 2 species